CGCAGUCGUGCCCAAGGACACACAAGUUCAAGGAAAAUCCAGGCAGAACUGAGCAAGUAAGAUUCUCACUAAUCAUCAUUUGGUGCUUAUUCAUUUGUUUUAUUCUCUCUGAGUAGUGAGAGACAAGGAGGACCUGGAUGUUUAAAACAAAAUUAAAAAGGGGAAAAUCCUGAAAUGGGAGAAAAUUGUAUCCACUCAUUUUAUUUUUUCCUGCAGAUUUGGAAGAGACAGUGUCUAUUGGGGGAAGCCUGGUGAGGGACAGAUGGCAUACUCAAGUGUUUAUAAAGGUGAAGAGGGGGCAGGGGACCCCUGCAAGGUGAUGGAAGGUGGUGGCAAGGGGUCAUCACCACCCUGGCUCCAAUAAGUGGUUUCUAGGAUGCAGAGAACAUGGCCGGGGCACAUACACUGUGGCCAAAGUCUUCCUCUGAUAUCCUGGCCUGGAGCCUGGGGCUGUGCAUAGGAGGACUGGACUAGAGGAUGUAUUGGGUUGCUUUGUCCUUGAAACCCCACUUUGUCUUCUCCCAAGUUUGCUGCAAGUCUCAGUGGGAAGGAAGGUGUCUGGGGCUUGCUUGUGGUAUGGUAGAGGGGUUUUUGUGAGAUCCAUCACCUCUCUGGCUUCAUUUUCAGUCCUCUCCCUUGACUCACUCUGCUGCAGCCACAGUGGCCUCUUUGCUGUUCCCCAAACAUGCCAUGCUCACUCUUACAUCAGGGCCUUUGCAUUGGCCGUCCCCUCUACCUGGAAGGCCCUUCUCCAGAUGUCCACACAUUUGGCUCCUUCGGCGGAUGCCGCUCUUCACCACAUGUCCCCAAUUCUACAAAGCCUUUCCCAGCCACCUGAUCUAAAAUUACAACCCUCCUCUCUAUUUCCCAUCCUGCUGCCCUGGUUGUUUUCCCCCUAGGCACUUAC
rnacentral:lncRNA from 1 species